rnacentral:rRNA from 1 species
UAGGGAAUCUUCCGCAAUGGACGCAAGUCUGACGGAGCAACGCCGCGUGAGUGAAGAAGGAUUUCGGUUCGUAAAACUCUGUUGUUAGAGAAGAACAGCGCAUAGAGUAACUGUUAUGCGUGUGACGGUAUCUAACCAGAAAGCCACGGCUAACUACGUGCCAGCAGCCGCGGUAAUACGUAGGUGGCAAGCGUUGUCAGGAUUUAUUGGGCGUAAAGCGAGCGCAGGCGGUCAAUUAAGUCUGAUGUGAAAGCCCCCGGCUCAACCGGGGAGGGUCAUUGGAAACUGGUUGACUUGAGUGCAGAAGAGGAGGGUGGAAUUCCAUGUGUAGCGGUGAAAUGCGUAGAUAUAUGGAGGAACACCAGUGGCGAAGGCGACUCUCUGGUCUGUAACUGACGCUGAGGCUUGAAAGCGGGGGUAGCAAGCAGG